CCUACGGGUGGCAGCAGUGAGGAAUAUUGGUCAAUGGACGAGAGUCUGAACCAGCCAAGUAGCGUGAAGGAUGACUGCCCUAUGGGUUGUAAACUUCUUUUAUAUGGGAAUAAAACGUUCCACGUGUGGGAUUUUGUAUGUACCAUAUGAAUAAGGAUCGGCUAACUCCGUGCCAGCAGCCGCGGUAAUACGGAGGAUCCGAGCGUUAUCCGGAUUUAUUGGGUUUAAAGGGAGCGUAGGUGGAUUGUUAAGUCAGUUGUGAAAGUUUGCGGCUCAACCGUAAAAUUGCAGUUGAAACUGGCAGUCUUGAGUACAGGAGAGGUGGGCGGAAUUCGGGGUGUAGCGGUGAAAUGCUUAGAUAUCACGAAGAACUCCGAUUGCGAAGGCAGUUCACUGGACUGCAACUGACACUGAGGCUCGAAAGUGUGGGUAUCAAACAGGAUUAGAUACCCCUGUAGUC
rnacentral:rRNA from 1 species